GAUGAACGCUAGCGGCAGGCUUAAUACAUGCAAGUCGAGGGGCAGCACGGUUAGCAAUAACUGGUGGCGACCGGCGCACGGGUGCGUAACACGUAUACAAUCUACCUUAAACAGGGGAUAGCCUUUCGAAAGAGAGAUUAAUACCCCGUAAUAAAUUGAACGGCAUCGUUUGAUUUUGAAAGCUCCGGCGGUUUGAGAUGAGUAUGCGUCUGAUUAGCUAGUUGGUGAGGUAACGGCUCACCAAGGCGACGAUCAGUAGGGGAUCUGAGAGGACUAACCCCCACACUGGUACUGAGACACGGACCAGACUCCUACGGGAGGCAGCAGUAAGGAAUAUUGGUCAAUGGAGGCAACUCUGAACCAGCCAUGCCGCGUGCAGGAUGACGGCCCUAUGGGU
rnacentral:rRNA from 1 species